CGACUCAGAGGUCUACUACAUGGUGCUUGCCAAAGAUGGUGGCAAAACCCAAAUCCAGGGAACUCCAACGGGCGAAGGGGACGUACUACCUUACGGUGAAUUCGCGAGGCCAGCUUGUGAGGACCAACGAGAGUGAUGGGAACUCUCAGACCAAGGGCGAGAGCGAUGACUAUGUUCUUACUGUCUACGCCGGGAUCGGUGAUGGAACCAACAAGCAGAAGAUUGAUCUUCCAUGGGUUUAAACACUUCUGGCCUUGGUUUUAUGCUAUGAUGCUGGUUGCUUUCUGCCUGGAAGCAGGCAGAUCCAUAGUAACUAAAUAAAAAAUCCAGUGUUUUAUGCGCUUGAGAUCUUCAUAACAUGUAAUCGAGUUUGCAAAACCUGGUCCAGUUUUUCUCCUUAGCUGAGAUGUAUAAUUUUUUGUUCUUGAUUUCUUGUAAAUGUGGACAUUUGAUCGUCAUGUCUCUUCCAGGAUUUCCACUUUCUCGAUUGAUCCGAGAGGCUGCUGGACCUGCGCCCAGCGAUGCCACAGGCCCCGGGAAGCUCGAUCCGGCGGGGAGCCCCUCGGUGAGGAUGGCGCGGAGGUCGGAGGCCGAGCUGCGAUUCAAGGUGGCCGGGCUCCAUCUCGGACAGCCCGGGCUCUACUCGGACACCGCAGCGGCGGAGAUGGUCCAUGAGAGAUCGCGCGUAGGCCGCGAAGGAGAAGCAGCAUUGGCGCCUGAGGGCUGCUGGGAUCUGGUGCCGCGGCUCUGGUGCUGCGCUGGCUAUGGCUGCCCAUUUCGAUCGAUCGGACGAGAAAUCUCUCCCUUUCUUCGCUUCCCUUGCUUGUUCUUGGAUCAACCAAUCAAUCUCUUUCACCUCUUCCUCUUCGUCGCAGCUUUAAAGGAUUUAGAUCCACAGGGACAUUCGAGCUAGAAAUCAUCAAACAUAAAUCUCUGACCACUCCAGAAUCGAGUGAUUGAUUGACCGACCACCUUCGCAACUCCUUACAAGAACCAAAAAUUCCUCUUUUUCUCCCUCGCUACGAGCUCGAGACUAUAAAGAUUUGGCGAGAUUUGAUGAUACAAGCACACCACCAUGGCCAGGACCACCACACUGGUGAGAUUCUUUCUCCUAGGCAGGCAGGCCGCUACAACGAAUCUUAAAUGGCACCAAAUGGAAGCCAAAGAGAGCAAGCAAAAAGAAAAAAAGAAAUUCUCUUGUUCUUCGAGGAGCCCUUUGACUACGUGACAACGAGAAAGAGAAGAAACCCUUUUUGAUUGCCUCUCCCUUCGCUUUCUCCUUUUAUACGCGAGAACCACUGUAGCGAUUGAUAAUUAGACUAGAUCAGACGAAACCAUGGGAGCUAUAGUUUAAUCGAUUCAAUCAGGGAAACCCAAAAAGCAGCGGACAGGCUUCUGAGAGCCUCUGUAGUUAUGCCUCUCAUGACAGGGAUUGAUUGAGAGGGCAUUGCUGUGCGACCGUCCAGCAUAAAAGAGAAGGGGCAUGUGUUCGUCUCAGAAGCUUGCCGUUUUAUGAGGGGAUCAUCCGCCUGUCUCUCAAUCACAAGAAAAUGCGAAAGAAAGGAAAAAGGUGGCGAAGUUGUUUUCGGUUGGACGAUCCAAAAUUGUUCGGAUCUGAAAAUGUUUGAGUAAAAUUGAAAAGCUUUGGUUGACAUGAGUAAAAAAUCACACCAAAACUGCAUGUGAAUGAGCAAAAUUUCAUGAACACAAGUUGAACUUCACUUUGGCUCUUCAGGUUCAACUUGCUUGAACGUACAUAUAAUGGGAGUACGGUGUCCGCGUAUGCGUAAUUUGGCGGUUAGAGACUCGGUCCAGCCAUUCUCACCAAGCAGAAGAAGGUCCUUGGCAGUCAAAAUGAAACAGAGGGCCGUGAUUUGAUUGCCAGCUGCCGACGGACGGUGGGAUGGGCGUUUGAAUUGCUCUGUUUCUGGUAAGAUAUAUGGCAGGAAAAUAAAUGCCCGCUAGGAAGUCAGAUACCAAGUCUCGAGGGAGAGAGAGGUUAUGGAUUUUCGUACCCUAGCAUUUAAUCCCACAAUGAUUGACUUUGCGUGGACUGCUGCUCGCUGCUCAAUCGAUCCAUCCAGACUCCAGUUUGUUAUUGUUUCUUUGGAACUUUGUGGAUCGAUACAUUGUUCCCAGCAUUUGUAACCAAAUGUGCUUUGAGUAAUUUGUUUCAACUUCUCCUUCUUUUACUUUUCCUUGAAGCACGAUGAAUCAGAGAGUCUGAUAGUUGCGUUGCGUGUCAUCCCCAUUUCCAUAAUUUCCGACCUUUUGGGGAGGAGGAUACAUAGCUCUCUAACCCCUUCAAGAAAUUAUUCCAUGAUCAGUGUGCUGGUACUUGGACACAUUUCUGUAGUAACUUCCAUCGAUCUCAAAUUUGGGAGUGUCUGAGACGACGAGGUUGCCAUUGUCUUUACAGAUGGCCAAGUAGUAAUCCUUGUUGGGAGAUCUUAUGCAAGUGUCCGAGUACAUUUUGAAGCAUUCUUCGAGACGAUCAAAGACUUUGAAGCUGAAGUCAUUCUGAAGCUUAACCCAUGCAUUGGCCCUGUGAUCAAGAACUAGUUUAUAGUUGGAAACUUGGCAGAGCGAAUGCACUGAUCGGGGAACAUUUUCUCAUUCACUCUCAGCUCAAACAUUAUCUUGAAAGCUCUCUCACACUGCAAUAUCCUCUUAUAGAACACCAGGUUUUUAUAGAGGGGAAAGGAAUCCAUGCCGGACAAUCUCGAGGCAGGUUUGUAAUAGUGACCAGUUUGGUGGUGGGCAUUUACGAAAUGAACGGUGGUCGAGUUCAAAGCUGGCAGAUCAGGAAAUCCAAGUGCAAGAACACUCGAUUUCCUUGUAUGAACUUGCAGAGGUAAAGCCUCACUCUGCCUUCAGAUCAAUAUCAGUAAAUCUCAUUCCGCAUUUCUGCACUUGUAAUGGCUCAGAUAGUGAGGAUCCAGGAGCUCAAGGAUGCGGAAUUGCUCCCUGGGAAACAAAUCUACUGUGCAAAGGCAGCGGCACAGGGCAAUAACAAGGUGCUGUUGCUCGAAGGCUACAAAAUGUGGAGGUCUACUACAUGGUGCUUGCCAAAGAUGGUGGCAAAUCCCAAAUCCAGGGAACUCCAACGGGCGAGCCCAAGGGGACGUACUACCUUACGGUGAAUCCGCGAGGUCAGCUUGUGAGGACCAACGAGAGUGAUCAGAAAUCUCAGACCAAGGGCUCGCGCCUGGCUCAGAGAGAUGACUAUGUUCUUACUGUCUACGCCGACGGGAC
rnacentral:lncRNA from 1 species